GGUCGGCUGGUUUGACCAUAUCCCAGAUUUCAUCCCUCACAUCCUCGAUACAAAGUUCAUAGUUGCCACCUUCAAUCCAUUUCUGGUGAACAUCCCUGUUUCACACACGGUCAUACUCGAGCUACAUACAGGAAUUCCAGCAGCUAUUUUUUCGAGAGUUUCAUGAAACAUUCGGGAAGAAAAACUGAGCAACAAAUGGCCUUUGUGAUGCUCCUGCUUUUUAAUGCAAGAAAGACAGGGGCAACUUAGAAGUGAGCCAACUAGUAGAACUGCAGCCAACCUCGUUUAUGAGGAUCACAGAAGAAGAAGAAUUUGUGGGCAGCUAUGCGACAAUACAUCUGC